UUGAGCGCAGUGCGAUGAAAGUUGCAUGCUGCGUUCUUAGAGGGCUGCUCCUCAGUAAUGGGGAGUGGCUACUCGAC
rnacentral:ncRNA from 1 species